ensembl:lncRNA
GGAAAAUAAUAUCUUACAACUUAUGUGCAAUAAGAAAAGAAAUAAGACAUAUGAUGUCUAUUCAGAUUUAGCAUUUUAAUUACUUCAAGAUUUCUUAAAUUGUAUCAAGUUCAAAAGUUAUUUUUUCAGUCAUAUCAAGUUCAGUAUCGUGUUUACUCAGCUUUUCUGGAUGAGAAGUGUUUCUAUGGGUUCAUGAGACAAAACAUUUGUGAUAUUGCAGGUGAGUUUGAUCAGGGUUGGAGCUAAACUCUGCAGCAGAUUGGCCCUCCAGGGCAAGAUUUGAGGAACCCUGCCUUAAAGGGACUUUGUGACAAUGUAAAAACAGUCAAACAACAUAUUUAUAAUUAAAGAGGGCGAAAACAGAGAUUACUUAUCAUAUUAUUUUAAUGUAUUGUCGUAAUUAAACACAUUUUUGUAGUACAAAUAGUUUACUGCACUUAUUCUUCUAGUAAUUUACCUAAGGGACACAUUCCAUACAAAAUAAUAUGGAUAUCGUAAGAGAAAAGUUGCUUUGUAUUUGGAAAUGCGUUACUUAUGUUAGAACUUAAUUGUAAGUAAUCCAAAAACCAUUCGACUACAGACGAUGUGUCUUCAUGUAAACCCUAAGAAAGUCAGAGAGGCGACUACAUGCGCAUUGAUCUCUGUGUUUGUGUGUGUGUUAUGGAUCACUCCCAGUCACACUCUGUGUUCCUGUCAUCGUCCCAGCCAUCAGAUGGUGGGCAGCUCACUCAACGGCUGGGCACUCAACUGAUGGCAGCUGUCCUGUAGGAAGUGCAGUUGGCAUGGGUUUAUCUGCGAUAUCGCUCCCUUACGUCGCCUUGGCAUUGUGUCACGGUAUAAAUAUUCAAUACUUCUGAGCACACUUUUUAGAGUCUCAACUUAGUGUUGAUCCAAAAAAUGUGUAGAAUCUUGUUAAAUCGCAGCAUAAUAAGAUCUUUCGUAAUUGUAUUAAUUAUAAAAUCACAAUUAGCCUCACAGAGGAAGUCCAUAUUGUUCAUAAGAGGCUUGGGCGUCUGCAUGGAGCGACAUCAUGUGGGCGCUGCAGGGUCGCUGAGUGCACAGAAGGGGGCGCUCUUGCACAAUCACUGCCCAUCGUGAUUACAGGGGACUCGGGGGACUGUGAGAGGCAGUCUGCUAUUUCUUACACAUCCUCUCAAACAAGCCUGCUUUCGGCUUUCAGAGAGAUUAAAGCUGCUUCGCAACUCAAAAGAUUUAAUCCUGUAAUUCUGACAUUUAUGAUCCUGAACGCAUUACGUAGAAUUGUGCGUGCAAAUCUCUUGCAUAAUUCGUAAUUAAUUACAUUGUGCAUACUGUUCCUAUUAUACAGUCAGAUUUAUUAACAUUUAUUAGUUGUAUUUGAUAGGAAAAACACUGCAUUACAGAUUUUCUUAAUACACAGGGUUGCAUGAACCAUAAAAACAAAACCCUUUACAUAGCCUUCAUGGUGCCUACUUACAAAGCAUCAUGGGCAACCUUCGACACUUACCUGGAAUUGUAAAUUAUUAUGUAUAAUUGAAAUGAAUGUAUUCAUAUGAUUUUAAAUGCAUUUAUUAUUAUUAUUAUUUCAAACGUAUUACAAUCUGAUGAACCUGUUGAACCUUUUCUCGGCAGACCAGGAUGUUGAGAGCUCGUGUGGUGGUAAUUGAAAUCCUUUGACCCGUCACCAGGGCCAGAGGACCGAGGUAAAGACUUGAAUAUGGAGCAUCAUUGCAAAUGAAAAUGGUGCUCUCUCUCCAUCUCCAAAGCAUUUCCCCCCUUGAAUAACACUGAACGAGUUCAUUCGGAUCAAUCCCUGGAUCGUCCUGACCCUGAAUGAGCUUUUUUGGGAGGACCAAUAUCUUAUUAAAUGAAUUACUCUUAAAGUAAUGGAGUCGUAAUAACCUAGAGCACUAUAGUUUUAGCAUGAUAAAAGCAGGCGGCGAGUAUUGUCGACAACAGCCCUUCUCAAGGCCGAGGCUAGUAAUUCAGCGCUGCGUUGCCAUGGUGGUCGCCAUGGAAACAUCCUACACCGUUCGGUGAGAGUUGAAGGUAACACCCACUCUCAUUGUUCAUCGUUCGCUGGGCUAAUGCAUAUUCAUAGUCACAGCGAAGCCAUUACCGAAGGCUUUUAUUGGUCUGUGUAUCCAUCAGCUGCACAAUACCAUUACAAAUGCUGCAAUUCACCUAUCUAUGGCCUCUUAAUUAAGAGGGACUAGAUUAAUAACCUCGGCCGAUUUGAUUAAUAAAGCAACAGGAGUGUAUCUGAUUUGCGUGGAAGCAUGAUUACAUUUCGACGUGGCUGCAGUGUGCAAACUCGUGUAGGAAAAGAAGAAAGAGGCGACUCAGAACAGCUUCAGAAGUAACCCGAGCUAAAGCUCGCCAGAGACCCAGCGUGAAUCCGGAGAAAUCCAAGACCGAUGGGAGCUCAUAAUGUGGUAUUACCUGAAGCAUACCUGCCCUUUCCAUUGAGAAGUCUUCACACACCCUGCAAAAUGUCGCCUGUAUCUGAAGGCUACUGUGGCAACC